rfam:Bradyrhizobiaceae bacterium SG-6C chromosome, whole genome shotgun sequence.
GCGCUCGUGGCGGAAUUGGUAGACGCGCUGCCUUGAGGUGGCAGUCCGUAACAGGGUGGGGGUUCGAGUCCCUCCGAGCGCA